rnacentral:rRNA from 1 species
AUGUGCACUAGGAAGCAAGCUGGUGGGAUGGGGUUUCGUGACUUUGAAGUGUUUAACCAAGCUCUCCUAGCUAAGCAGGUUUGGAGGAUUCUGAUGACCCCCACAUCCUUGUGUGCGAGAGUGUUGAAGGCACGGUAUUUCUAGGUUAUGGAUACCAUGGCUGCACCAUGCCCACGGAGUUGUUCAUAUACGUGGAGAAGUCUGAUGCAUGGAAGGGGUCUUCUAGCUCACGGUCUUAUUUGGUGA